UUUUUUUUUUCUUUUUUUUUUUUUAUUGAUUAUUUCUUUCUUUUUAAUUCCUCCCAUUUU
rnacentral:ribozyme from 12 species